GAGUUUGAUCAUGGCUCAGAUUGAACGCUGGCGGCAUGCCUAACACAUGCAAGUCGAACGGAAACGAUGCUAGCUCGCUAGCAGGCGUCGAGUGGCGGACGGGUGAGUAAUGUAUAGGAACUUGCCCAGUAGUGGGGGACAACUUAUGGAAACGUAAGCUAAUACCGCAUAAUCUCUACGGAGGAAAGCAGGGGCUCUUUGGACCUUGCGCUAUUGGAUAGGCCUAUAUUGGAUUAGCUAGUUGGUGAGGUAAGAGCUCACCAAGGCGACGAUCCAUAGCUGGUUUGAGAGAAUGAUCAGCCACACUGGGACUGAGACACGGCCCAGACUCCUACGGGAGGCAGCAGUGGGGAAUAUUGCACAAUGGAGGAAACUCUGAUGCAGCAAUGCCGCGUGUGUGAAGAAGGCCUUAGGGUUGUAAAGCACUUUCAAUAGGGAGGAAAAGCGAGUAGUUAAUACUUGCACGCCGUGACGUUACCUAUAGAAGAAGGACCGGCUAACUCCGUGCCAGCAGCCGCGGUAAUACGGAGGGUCCGAGCGUUAAUCGGAAUUACUGGGCGUAAAGCGCGCGUAGGCGGAUAUUUAAGUCAGAUGUGAAAUCCCUGGGCUCAACCUAGGAACUGCAUUUGAAACUGGAUAUCUAGAGUAUGGUAGAGGUGAGUGGAAUUUCAGGUGUAGCGGUGAAAUGCGUAGAGAUCUGAAGGAACAUCAGUGGCGAAGGCGACUCACUGGGCCAUUACUGACGCUGAGGUGCGAAAGCGUGGGUAGCAAACAGGAUUAGAUACCCUGGUAGUCCACGCCCUAAACGAUGUCAACUAGGUGUAUGGGGGUUUAUCCCUUGUGUAUCGAAGCUAACGCGAUAAGUUGACCGCCUGGGGAGUACGGUCGCAAGGCUAAAACUCAAAUGAAUUGAC
rnacentral:rRNA from 1 species